UACGUAGGGGGCUAGCGUUGUCCGGAAUCAUUGGGCGUAAAGAGCGUGUAGGCGGCCCGGUAAGUCCGCUGUGAAAGUCGGGGGCUCAACCCUCGAAUGCCGGUGGAUACUGUCGGGCUAGAGUGCGGAAGAGGCGAGUGGAAUUCCAGGUGUAGCGGUGAAAUGCGUAGAUAUCUGGAGGAAUACCGGUGGCGAAGGCGGCAUCCUGGACCAUAACUGACGCUGAGGCGCGAAAGCUAGGGGAGCAAACGGG
rnacentral:rRNA from 1 species